CAGUAGCCACGGUAAUACGAAGGUCCCAAGCGUUGUUCGGAAUCACUGGGCGUAAAGGGAGCGUAGGCGGCGUGGUAAGUCAGAUGUGAAAUCCCGGGGCUCAACCCCGGAACUGCAUCCGAUACUGCCAUGCUUGAGGGUUGGAGAGGUAGCUGGAAUUCUUGGUGUAGCAGUGAAAUGCGUGGAUAUCAAGAGGAACACUCGUGGCGAAGGCGAGCUACUGGACAACAUCUGACGCUGAGGCUCGAAGGCCAGGGUAGCGAAAGGGAUUAGAGACCCCAGUAGUCCCUGUCUCUUAUAC
rnacentral:rRNA from 1 species